UACGGAGGGUGCAAGCGUUAAUCGGAAUUACUGGGCGUAAAGCGCACGCAGGUGGCUGAGUCAGUCGAUUGUGAAAGCCCUGGGCUUAACCUGGGAAUUGCAGUCGAUACUACUCAGCUAGAGUAUGGGAGAGGGUAGUGGAAUUCCCGGUGUAGCCGUGAAAUGCGUAGAUAUCGGGAGGAACAUCAGUGGCGAAGGCGGCUCACUGGACUGGUAUUGACGCUGAGGUGCGAAAGCGUGGGGAGCAAACAGGG
rnacentral:rRNA from 1 species